rnacentral:tRNA from 1 species
GCCUUCGGGGUAUAGCGGUCAGCACACUCGACGUGUAAUCGAGAUGUCUGUGUGGUUCGAGUCCCGGUGAGGGCA